rnacentral:rRNA from 1 species
CUAAUACCGCAUGAUAUAUCGGAAUCACAUGAUUUUGAUAUCAAAGAUUUUAUCGCUUGAAGAUGGACUCGCGUCCGAUUAGUUAGUUGGUGAGGUAACGGCUCACCAAGACCGCGAUCGGUAGCCGGACUGAGAGGUUGAACGGCCACAUUGGGACUGAGACACGGCCCAGACUCCUACGGGAGGCAGCAGUGGGGGAUAUUGCGCAAUGGGGGCAACCCUGACGCAGCAACGCCGCGUGAAGGAUGAAGGUUUUCGGAUUGUAAACUUCUUUUAUUAAGGACGAAACUUGACGGUACUUAAUGAAUAAGCUCCGGCUAACUACGUGCCAGCAGCCGCGGUAAUACGUAGGGAGCAAGCGUUGUCCGGAUUUACUGGGUGUAAAGGGUGCGUAGGCGGCUUUGCAAGUCAGAUGUGAAAUCUAUGGGCUCAACCCAUAAACUGCAUUUGAAACUGUAGAGCUUGAGUGAAGUAGAGGCAGGCGGAAUUCCCCGUGUAGCGGUGAAAUGCGUAGAGAUGGGGAGGAACACCAGUGGCGAAGGCGGCCUGCUGGGCUUUAACUGACGCUGAGGCACGAAAGCGUGGGUAGCAAACAGGAUUAGAUACCCUGGUAGUCCACGCUGUAAAC